UACGUAGGCGGAAAAUUAAGUCAGUAGUGAAAUCCUGCAGCUUAACUGUAGAACUGUUAUUGAUACUGAUUUUCUUGAAUAUAGUUGAGGUAGGCGGAAUGUGUAAUGUAGCGGUGAAAUGCUUAGAUAUUACACAGAACACCGAUUGCGAAGGCAGCUUACUAAGCUAUUAUUGACGCUGAGGCACGAAAGCGUGGGGAGCGAACAGGAUUAGAUACCCUGGUAGUCC
rnacentral:rRNA from 1 species